UUUGUUUUAGUAUAAUUUAUUAUAUUAGCUUUUCGUGCUAAAGAUAGUUUUAAUAACUAAACAAAU
rnacentral:tRNA from 1 species